GAGAGUUUUGCGGCACACUUUUGAGAGUUUGUUACUUUUAAUCAAUUUCUUAGUUCUUUUUUAAGAUUCAUGUAAAAAAAAAAAAAAAAAAAGAUUAAUCUUAGACAUAAAACUUCUUUGAGCGCCGACUUCGGUCGGAAAACUUUGACAAAUGGGGUGAAGGGGAGAUUUCUCACGCUUGACUCUGAGACAUGGAUUUAAAUGUACACCUGAUGACUCCGUAUCUGUGGAAGAUGUGCUGGUUGCAGUCAGUGAACAGUCAAUGAUUGCUGGAGCUCUGUAAAUAGCAGGUGAGAUUGCAGGCCGGAGUCCCGUCGCUGUCCAGGGAACCAAAGUCAACCUCCCCUACUCCUGAGACCACAGUGUGACAGAGCCUAGACUACAUGGCUACUUGGAACAUGAACAUGUUGCAGACACAGGAUCUUAUGAAGUCAGCGCAGGCAGCCCUGGAAAAGAAGAGUCCGAAAGACGUGCCCUUCUCCAAGCUUUAAAGGAGAAGAUCCAGGGCUGUUGAAGCUGCGGUGGAACUGAGACAUCAUCAUCCACAUAUCUUCAGUUCUUCUUGCUAAGAGAACGAGAAACUCGGACACAACAGUACAUCCUGACCAUUGGUACUGUGUACACAUCAACAUACACACACGUCUCCAUGCUGGACAUCUCAGGAGCUUUCACACAGUGCUAGGAAUAUCCCGGGACAGAGAAACGCACCUUCUAAGUGAGCGAGUUUAGCGUCAACCGGUGAAAUUUGCUGUAGCGUGAACACUUUGCCUCUAAAUGAUCUUUCGAGGCAGCUUCUUCAUCACUACCUGCUCCGUUUGACUCAAAAAUGUAACGACCGGUUUCAAAAAGUCACGAUGUCUUCAGUUCAUGAGAUUUUACUGUUGAAUUUAAACAGGAAAUGUGAAAUAUUUUUUCCCUUUGUUUCCUCUACUGUCUUUUGCUGUGAUCUUGAACACAGUUGUAAUUUUAAAAAAAAAAAAAAAAAAAAAAAUGAUAAUUCUAGUUCUCUC
ensembl:lncRNA